rnacentral:lncRNA from 1 species
UCAACCACACUAUCAAUACAGAUGUGCAGUUGAGUAUAGAAGUAAUGCUUCCUCGGUAAAAUUCAUUGAGGACAAUCCCUUCACAAUCUAGAACUGGAAGAUUGGAUUUUCUGAAAACAUCGGAGAAAGACUGUCCUUGCCAUCCACACUACAGCAAAUCUUUGGAGACUUGAACUUUGGGUUCAUAAUCUCACAACUGAGAAGGGUCCCACCACACUCCUGGAACUGUGCACCCAUUGGAAACCUUAAGAAAUUCAACAUAUGAAACAGAAGUAAAGCAGAGCUUCUCUGGCUGAAGGAGGAGGAUUAAAGGUAUCAAGAGGAAGGGUUGAGGGCCACCUGCCAGCCCCUACUCAUUGGUCCUUAGUGGCUCAGGGCUCUGUACUCAUUGCUCUUCAUCCCACUGCUGUGUGCUAUUGUCUUUGUGAUCUUCAUGAUUGGAUUUUGCUUCUUCAAGGAAGAUAUAAAAGAGCCCAAGUAAUUCUGGAAACCAGCAUUUUACCCUUGACCUCCUGCUUUUCAUCCUACUGGUCCUCGCCAGAAGUCGCUGGUUGCCUGGUAUAAGAAAACAAUCAUAAUUAUCUCAUUAAUACUUGGACCUGGCCUCCCUGCUAAUCAGGUUUGUACUGCUGAGAUUUCAAAGGAGAACAGAAAUCUACUAAGAAGAAAUAAAUUGGUUCUCAGGCUAUAAAUAGUUCUAGGAAGCUGCCCAGGGACAAAAAUUUGCCUGCUGGUGAAAUAAAAGACCAUGUAAACUGUAGAUUUAUUUGGAGAGUAUAGUUCCAUGAAUUUAACUGGUCUAGACUCUGGGCCUCUGGAAGGCAGAGACCAUGCUCUCAGCCUUGCCUUUAGUACCUUGUCUGUAACAGGCUAUCAGAUAUGUUGAUUGUGUCAAAGAUAAGCAAAUUCUGAAAUGAGUAAUUUUUUUCAUUCUCUAUCCUCUCUGAAUUCACUUAGUGCCUCUCAGAAUGUGUCUGAGUGGAAAGGGAUUUGCACAGGAUAUGUCCAAACAGGUUAUUGUAACUUUGGAGGUAAACUCUUGUCUAUCAUUCCAUGCACUUCAUUAUUAUUUAUAUCCAUUUCUUUCUUUCUUUCUUUGUUUAUUUAUUUAAGUAAUUGGUCAUGAAAUAGACUUGCAUGCUGAAUACUGAAAUGUGGUGUUUGACACUUGUAAAUUAUUCCAGAUUAUAUAUGAGACUAUAAUAGAUAAAAGUGAUUUAGAUAAUAAAGUGAUCUGUAAUUGAAGUAAAUGAGAGCUGGGUGCUGUGGCUAAUGCCUUGUACUCCCAGCACUUUGGAAGGCUGAGGCAGUAGG